UUUCCGUAGGUGAACCUGCGGAAGGAUCAUUCAUAAUAAGUGUUUUAUGGCACUUUCUUUAAAUCCAUAUCCACCUUGUGUGCAAUGUCAGGGUUGAUUUUUCUCUCGAGAGGAUCAGCCCCAAACAUCAACUAUAUCUCAACUCUUUGUCUGAAAAAUAUUAUGAAUAAAACAAUUCAAAAUACAACUUUCAACAACGGAUCUCUUGGCUCUC
rnacentral:misc_RNA from 1 species